rnacentral:rRNA from 1 species
GAUGAACGCUAGCGAUAGGCUUAACACAUGCAAGUCGAGGGGCAGCAUGGUCUUAGCUUGCUAAGACUGAUGGCGACCGGCGCACGGGUGCGUAACGCGUAUGCAACUUGCCUCACAGAGGGGGAUGACCCGUCGAAAGACGGACUAAUACCGCGUACACUUAGGAUAGGGCAUCCUAUCCCAAGGAAAUGAAAUUCGCUGUGAGAUAGGCAUGCGUCCCAUUAGCUAGUUGGUGAGGUAACGGCUCACCAAGGCGACGAUGGGUAGGGGAACUGAGAGGUUGAACCCCCACACUGGUACUGAGACACGGACCAGACUCCUACGGGAGGCAGCAGAAGGG